AAACUACUCCCUCUAUCCCAAAUUUCUUGUCUUAGAUUUGUCUAGAUACAGAUGUAUCUAAUACUAAAAUGUGACUUGAUACAUCUGUAUCUAGACAAAUCUAAGACAAGAAUUUUGGGACGGAGGGAGUACUUU
rnacentral:pre_miRNA from 1 species